UGGUGCUUGCAUCAUGAUUUACAUUUGAGUGAGUGGCGAACUGGUGAGUAACACGUGGGAAACCUGCCCAGAAGCGGGGGAUAACACCUGGAAACAGAUGCUAAUACCGCAUAACAACUUGGACCGCAUGGUCCGAGUUUGAAAGAUGGCUUCGGCUAUCACUUUUGGAUGGUCCCGCGGCGUAUUAGCUAGAUGGUGGGGUAACGGCUCACCAUGGCAAUGAUACGUAGCCGACCUGAGAGGGUAAUCGGCCACAUUGGGACUGAGACACGGCCCAAACUCCUACGGGAGGCAGCAGUAGGGAAUCUUCCACAAUGGACGAAAGUCUGAUGGAGCAACGCCGCGUGAGUGAAGAAGGGUUUCGGCUCGUAAAACUCUGUUGUUAAAGAAGAACAUAUCUGAGAGUAACUGUUCAGGUAUUGACGGUAUUUAACCAGAAAGCCACGGCUAACUACGUGCCAGCAGCCGCGGUAAUACGUAGGUGGCAAGCGUUGUCCGGAUUUAUUGGGCGUAAAGCGAGCGCAGGCGGUUUUUUAAGUCUGAUGUGAAAGCCUUCGGCUCAACCGAAGAAGUGCAUCGGAAACUGGGAAACUUGAGUGCAGAAGAGGACAGUGGAACUCCAUGUGUAGCGGUGAAAUGCGUAGAUAUAUGGAAGAACACCAGUGGCGAAGGCGGCUGUCUGGUCUGUAACUGACGCUGAGGCUCGAAAGUAUGGGUAGCAAACAGGAUUAGAUACCCUGGUAGUCCAUACCGUAAACGAUGAAUGCUAAGUGUUGGAGGGUUUCCGCCCUUCAGUGCUGCAGCUAACGCAUUAAGCAUUCCGCCUGGGGGAGUACGGCCGCAAGGCUGAAACUCAAAGGAAUUGACGGGGGCCCGCACAAGCGGUGGAGCAUGUGGUUUAAUUCGAAGCUACGCGAAGAACCUUACCAGGUCUUGACAUACUAUGCAAAUCUAAGAGAUUAGACGUUCCCUUCGGGGACAUGGAUACAAGGUGGGGGCAUGGUUGUCGUCAGCUCCUGUCCUGGGAAAUUUUGGGGUUAAAUCCCCCCACCAAGCGCAACCCUUAUUUAUCAUUUGCCACCAUUAAAUUGGGGACCCUGGUGAGACUGCCCGUGAAAACCCGAGGAGAGGAGGGGGGGGGGAGGUCCCAAAACAACAAUGCCCCCUUUUAACUGGGGGGACACCACGGCUCCAAAAGGA
rnacentral:rRNA from 2 species